UGAGGAAUAUUGGGUCAAUGGGCGCAAGCCUGAACCAGCCAAGUAGCGUGAGGGACGACGGCCCUAUGGGUUGUAAACCUCUUUUAUGCGGGGAUAACCGGCGCCACGGGUGGCGCCCUGCAGGUACCGCAUGAAUAAGGACCGGCUAAUUCCGUGCCAGCAGCCGCGGUAAUACGGAAGGUCCGGGCGUUAUCCGGAUUCAUUGGGUUUAAAGGGAGCGUAGGCCGCCCUUUAAGCGUGUUGUGAAAUGUAGGGGCUCAACCCCUGCACUGCAGCGCGAACUGGAGGGCUUGAGUACACGCAAGGCAGGCGGAAUUCGUGGUGUAGCGGUGAAAUGCUUAGAUAUGACGAAGAACUCCGAUUGCGAAGGCAGCUGACGGGAGCGUUACUGACGCUUAAGCUCGAAAGUGCGGGUAUCGAACAGGAUUAGAUACCCUGGUAGU
rnacentral:rRNA from 1 species